rnacentral:rRNA from 1 species
CCUACGGGAGGCAGCAGUGGGGAAUAUUGCGCAAUGGGCGAAAGCCUGACGCAGCGACGCCGCGUGCGGGAUGAAGGUCUUCGGAUCGUAAACCUCUGUCAGCAGGGAAGAACGGUCACUGUGCUAAUCAGCAGUGAUUUGACGGUACCUGCACAGGAAGCACCGGCUAACUCCGUGCCAGCAGCCGCGGUAAUACGGAGGGUGCGAGCGUUAAUCGGAAUUACUGGGCGUAAAGCGCUCGUAGGCGGUAUGUCAAGUCAAGGGUGAAAUCCCCGCGCUCAACGUGGGAACUGCCUUUGAAACUGGCGAACUAGAGUGUGUGAGAGGAGAGUGGAAGUCCAGGGGUAGGAGUGAAAUCCGUAGAGAUCUGGAGGAACAUCAGUGGCGAAGGCGACUAUCUGGCACAUAACUGACGCUGAGGAGCGAAAGCGUGGGUAGCAAACAGGAUUAGAUACCCGAGUAGUC